UGACCUCGGAUCAGACGUGAUUACCCGCUGAAUUUAGCAUAUUAUUUAAGCGCGAGGAAAAAAAGAAACUAACAAGGAUUCCCUAGUAACGGCGACCUUGGUGAACGUGGGAAGAGCCCAACACGAAUUCCCUUGGCGCAAUGUCAACAGGGAAAUGUGGUGUUAAGUUAGCCCCUUUCGUCAGUCUAGGCCGAUUCA
rnacentral:ncRNA from 1 species